GGGUCAGUAGGUUGGUCGUGCCACCGGUACGUACUGGUCUCACUGAUUCCUCCUUCCUGAAGAACCGUAAUGCCAUUAAUUUGGUGUUGCGGGGAAACAGGACUGUUACUUUGAAAAGAUUAGAGUGUUUAAAGCAAGCUGACGCUUGAAUACAUUAGCAUGGAAUAAUGAAAUAGGACGAUCGAUCCUAUUUUGUUGGUUUCUAGGAUUGACGUA
rnacentral:rRNA from 1 species